AUUGAACGCUGGCGGCAUGCCUAACACAUGCAAGUCGAACGGGGUAGCAAUACCCAGUGGCGGACGGGUGAGGAAUACAUAGGAAUUUGCCUUUAGGUGGGGGAUAGCCCGGGGAAACUCGGAGUAAUACCGCAUGAUGUCGAAAGACCAAAGUAGGGGAUCGCAAGACCUUGCGCCUUUAGAGAAGCCUAUGUCUGAUUAGCUAGUUGGUAGGGUAAUGGCCUACCAAGGCGACGANCAGUAACUGGUCUGAGAGGACGAUCAGUCACACCGGAACUGAGACACGGUCCGGACUCCUACGGGAGGCAGCAGGUGGGAAUAGUUGGACAAUGGGCGAAAGCCUGAUCCAGCAAUGCCGCGUGUGUGAAGAAGG
rnacentral:rRNA from 1 species